rnacentral:sRNA from 1 species
CCGCCCAAUGCGCCGCCCACACCUGCUUCGGUGGUGCCGCCGGCAGAAGCGAAGCCACUGACCAGGCCAAGGGACAACAAGAGAAUCGAGGAGAACUUCAUAGAGAAACCUCAAGGGGAUGACGACGCGAUCCUGAGGCUGUGUCAUGGUUGUUACAAUCGAAAUCCGACGAGUAACACGACUUCAACACAUUUCUAUAAGUUACUGUUUUAUAGGGGGAACUUAACUGUUUUUCGCCGGUCUUAAGCUACUUCGGAAUGGCCGUUUUUGUGAAAAAACGGCCUUUUUUGUGGGUGUUUGAAAAGUAUUGAUCCGAAAGAUUCGUUGAAUGUUCCAUCGCCUUCGCGAGCAAGCCCGCUCCCACAGUUGACCGAGUUCUUCCAGAAGGAAUGCGAUCGAAUGUGGGAGCGGGCUUG